rnacentral:rRNA from 1 species
GACGAACGCUGGCGGCGUGCUUAACACAUGCAAGUCGAACGGAAAGGCCCUGCUUGCAGGGUACUCGAGUGGCGAACGGGUGAGUAACACGUGGGUGAUCUGCCCUGCACUUCGGGAUAAGCCUGGGAAACUGGGUCUAAUACCGGAUAGGAGCCAUUUUUAGUGUGAUGGUUGGAAAGUUUUUUCGGUGUAGGAUGAGCUCGCGGCCUAUCAGCUUGUUGGUUGGGUAAUGGCCUACCAAGGCGGCGACGGGUAGCCGGCCUGAGAGGGUGGACGGCCACAUUGGGACUGAGAUACGGCCCAGACUCCUACGGGAGGCAGCAGUGGGGAAUCUUGCACAAUGGGCGCGAGCCUGAUGCAGCGACGCCGCGUGGGGGAUGACGGCCUUCGGGUUGUAAACUCCUUUCGCUAGGGACGGAGCUUUUUGUGACGGUACCUAGAGAAGAAGCACCGGCUAACUACGUG